UGCGUAGGCGUCCAGGAAAGUUAUUUGUUAAAUCCUUCGGCUUAACCGAAGACCUGCAAGUAAAACUAACUGGAUAGAGUUUAAGAGAGGAAAAUGGAAUUCCUGGUGUAGCGGUGACAUGCGUAGAUAUCAGGAGGAACAUCAAUGGCGAAGGCAAUUUUCUGGCUUAAAACUGACGCUGAGGCACGAAAGCAUGAGGAGCAAACAGGAUUAGAUACCCUGGUAGUCC
rnacentral:rRNA from 1 species